ACCGGUGGGAACACACGUCUUCUACUUCCCUCAAGGACACAGUGAGCAGGUCGCAGCGUCUUUGAAGAAAGAUGUGGAUGGAUAGAUUCCUAACUAUCCCAAUCUUCCAUCCAAGUUGUUGUGCCUCCUUCACAGUGUUACUUUCCGUGCUGAUCCAGAAACUGAU